AAUCAACGCUGGCGGCGUGCCUCAGACAUGCAAGUCGAACGGUUAAACUUUCCUUCGGGAAAGAUAUAAAGUGGCGCACGGGUGAGUAACACGUAGGUAAUGUGCCUUUGGGUGGGGAAUAACUUAGGGAAACUUAAGCUAAUACCGCAUAAUGCAGCGGCUCCUUCGGGAGACAGUUGUUAAAGAUUUAUCGCCUAAAGAGCAGCCUGCGGCAGAUUAGCUAGUUGGUAAGGUAACGGCUUACCAAGGCUACGAUCUGUAUCCGACCUGAGAGGGUGGUCGGACACACUGACACUGAAUAACGGGUCAGACUCCUACGGGAGGCAGCAGUCGGGAAUUUUGGGCAAUGGGCGAAAGCCUGACCCAGCAACGCCGCGUGAAGGAUGAGGUCUUUCGGGAUGUAAACUUCGUAAGAAUAGGAAGAAUAAGUGAC
rnacentral:rRNA from 1 species